UAAUAAUCUGCACUUUCUUAGACCACACCAGACUCUUGAGCCAACUAGAUGGUCAUUAGGCAGCAACAGUAGUGUAUUUCCACAGCUCUCACCUCUGUCUGCCCCGGUGAAAUGCUCCUGUGCCCACAGUCCCUAUACUUUUGAGGAUAUCUUUGAUGGAUCCACAAAUGCAUCCUCUCCACCCCACAUGGAAGCCUCCAUUUCAUGCAUUUCUGUGAUCUGCUCUCGGUCUCUUAUCUCUGUGAAGCAGCCUAUGACCUAAUGCCCACCAGGGGCACUAGACUUGGGAUGUCAGACAAGGUGUCCCAAUUCAGGUGAUGCUCAGACAUGUGGGCAGGUCUGAGUUGGUGACUGAUGAUUGAUUUCCAUGGCCAUACUGUCUGUCAGGCAGGUAGUCUGGCAGGUUUACUGGGAGCUCCAAAGAACACGAAAAUGAUGGCUGAGUCCAUUUCCUUGAACUUUUGGCUCCAGGGCUCAAAGCAAAGCAUCCAAUUGCUCCUGAAAUCUUCCAGAAAUUCAAGUGUAGCAGCUUUUUCUUAUUUGCUCGCAAGGCCAUUCCUGAUGGCCAGGGAGGAGUCCCUGGGGAUCAAGCUAGAUGGCACUGUUGGAGCAUAUACCUAACUACUGGUGCUCACAUCACCUCUUUCCUCCCAUGGUGAGAUACUGGUCUUAUUCUCACCCUUCCCUUUCUCCACAGUUACUUCUUUGCUAAGAAGCUACUUUGAUCCACAUGCAAAUAUCUUCCUGGAACUCCCACUUCCUUAUCUGUGGUUUGUUUUUCAACUGUUUUGGAGGAGUCUUUUAUUUGGGAAUUGUCAAAUCCUAAAGUGAACACAGAUCCAUCUCAUGCCGGACCUUUGCACCAAAACAUCUUUAAAAUAUCAAAUUUAUGUGAUUCUUUCAUCCUUCCAUUUCAAUUUAAAAGUUAGUGGCUCAACCAUUGAAUUCAUCUACCCACAGAGUCCCAUCUCAGGGCUGGCUUCUUGCCAAGAUUUUGGGGUGGAAACUUGGUGAGUUUCUUACUGCUUUUUCUGCUUCUUGUGGCUGUAGACUGGAUUUCAUGGAAACAAAGAAUGCUGGUUUGAUUCUUACAAUAUUGUUGUCCAACCUCUCAUUUUACAGCUGAGAAAAUAGAGGAUCAUGAGUGUCAAAUGACUUGUCUAAAUUUGUACAGCUUACUGGUGGCUUGAGUCCAGACUUAAAUGUAUGUUUCUGAUUACAAAUUCAUUACUUGGUUCUGACUAAAGGAUAUUCUUAGCUUCUCUCUUCUAUCUCUGUUCCUUCAACGACACCCAUCACUUUCCUCCUUCCAAACAUAUCAGAGGUCCUCUGAGAUCUUACAUUCUUUUUUUUUUUAACCUCUGGUGGUUGUUAUUAUUUUUCUAUCUGUGCAAGUAUGGAGAUAAAGAGAAUGAAACUUUAAGAAGCUAAAUGAAGAGUAUUGAAGUAUCAAUCAAAUGAAACAGUCAAAACUUUGCAAUUUCCCAACUUUCAUGAUCAGUGUUUAAAAAUGCAUAUGCAGAGUCCUGUGGAUAAUUAUGUGAUGUCUGCGAGGUUAACUAAGUGUUAGAUGUCCAAAGUCACCAAAAAAUAAAACAGCUUUCAAGGGCUGCCAACACCAGCAGAGCCCCAGUGGGCAUGUGUGGUUCUCUGCUUUGGAAAAUGUGUCUCAGCCAGUGAUGAAAAUCUAAACCACACAAACCACUUGGUUUCUAAGAGAACAAGUUUUGAGAAACCAUGUUUUGGAAUAAAGCCUCAAAUUUUCCAUUUCACAACAAAGUUCCCCAAAGAAGUUUUAUUUUAACAUUAUAAAGAAUACUGAGGAUAGCAGGAGUAAAGAAGGCUUAAAAUAAAGGAAAAGAAAAACCUAUUUUAAUGGUGAUGGACUUACAGAACUGGUGUGUAAAGAUGUCGUCUUGCCUAUUUAUUUCCUGUCUUACAACUCCUUUCCACAAAACCCCAACACUCCAUCUGGGUUUUCCAGUUCAAAGUUCUCCAAAAAGUUUACUUCUACAGUUUAAGUGUUGGUGCUUUAUGAAAAGUGUGGAAAACACUAGACUACAUGCUAAUGUUAAUUGAUUUUAAGCUCUCCCUGAACAUGAAUUGUGCUGCAAAAUUAGCCCGAGAGCCUUUAGACAUUCACAAGGGCCAAAGAGGGGAAAGUUAUAGAACAAAGAGUUUGGAGACAUGGAACCAUGUCACCCAUCUUACUCCAUCUAGCAGAUCUUGUGCGGCUAGCAGACCGAAGUCCUUUCCCUGUGUGAAUGAGGAUGGAACCAGGCCAGGAUUGGAGCUCUUAGCACUGCAUCUGAUCACCCUGGGCAAGUGGCUUAGCUUCCUUCUCUCAGUAUCUGUUUUGUUUUACAUCAAAUAAGUUAAUGCUUGUCUUCUACCUAAGGAGCCAUGCAAGGGAUAACAAAGAAAAGCAUGCUUAAUGAAUUACCAAGUGCUAUUCAUUCAUGAAGGUAAGCUUAUACACGAUUUUUUCAUUUUCAGUUUAUAAUUGGAAUGUAUUAUUUAAACUGCAUAGAGUCAACUACAAAUGGUUUAGAUACCUUCUAGUCCAGCAAUUAAAUUAAGAAUGCUUUUCCCUAUUUUGUAAUUUGAAGCAAAUACUGAAUAAUUAAAAUUAUUUAAAUUCAUGCCUGUCCAAUUUUAAUAUCUAAAAGCAAUAUAGGGAGGAAAUCCAAACACUCACCCAGGAAUGUAAAAACGUGAUCCAUGAAAGACAGUUAUUACUUUAAAAUUAUUACAACCAAGCAUAAUUAUAUAUAAGUCCACAUUAACUUGAUUGCCAACAAAUUUAAAAACAAACCACUCAGAUGUAUAUCCAUUUCAUAGCACUUGUUCAAUAUUGGGUUGAAAUUUCCUAUAAGGGUAAAAAACAAAACAAAACAAAAGACAAGACUCUGAAUCCCAAACAUCAGCUUAAUUUUUUGGAAGACAAAGGCUAAGCUACCACACGUUCAAGCUGGUAACCUUCCCAAGUCCUGCAUUGUAUUCUAUAAAUACAUUAGGUGUGAUUAGCAGGGUCAAGAGCAAAUGGUAUUGACUAUGUUGUAUGUCCAAGUGAUUAAUUAUAAAGAUAGAAGCCUGUGGGAACACAAAAAGGAAAUACAUAUGAAUGACUGAGAUAGGAUCCAAUUGUUUCAAACAUAUACACUGAAGGGAAAGCCAAGUGAUUCUGCAUUUUACCAGUGCUUCUAUCUGGAACCUCCUCUCAUGUUGUAUUAAGACAGUUCUCACUUCCCUGGAGUAAGCUUUUAUGAUGAACCAUAAUCAUUCGUAAAUUCAGUGUCUGUUGACCAUUUUCAAAUCUGCAUCAAGGACUCCCAGGAAAUUUUGCAUUGAUUCAAAGUUUUCUCAAGGUCAAGAACUCAUUCCCAAAGUCAAGACCAUUUUCAGUCUGAUGCACUUGAUCAAUUUUAUAGCUUCCCUAUGGUUAGUCAAGGUCUAGGUUAGUUAGUUCUUGAUUUUCCCUGGUUAGCAUCCUAAGUCAAUUGCAGAUGGCCUACAGUACAAUUACAACCUCCC
rnacentral:lncRNA from 1 species